CGGAAAAUGGCGGCGAUUUUUAAAAAUAAGACAUAUUUUAAAUUGCAAUUACAUGAAAAGUAACGCCCGCCCCCAAUAAAAAAUUAUUGUACAAUUAUCAGGCCACUUUCAGCUGAUUCUAAAAAAAUUAAAAUGAACGGUAAUAAUAUGCAUGCAUAAAUGAUUCGUUUCAUAAAGAAUAAAGAAAAUUGAAAACGGAUUUUAUAAUACUUACAAAAUUGUUUAAACAAGAGAUUAAGCCAGAGCCCAGAGCAAAAACUAGGAGACAGUACAGCAAAAAAGCCACUAAUUUCCAUUUCCCACACCCCCUUAUCGAUGCAUUUUUUCCAAUCAAAAUUUUUACUAAAUUUUUAGGUUAUCGGUUAUCUUAUGAAAAUUAGUGAUGACCAAUGACCACGCGACGCUACAUAGAUACUCGCGCGGCAAAUUUGAAAAUGAACGCAAAUUGAACAGUAAAUGGCCUCUCUUAAAACCUUGUAAUGGAAAA